UGUCUAAGUAUAAACUCGUUUGUACUGUGUGAAACUGCGAAUGGCUCAUUAAAUCAGUUAUAGUUUAUUUGAUAUAACCUUACUACUUGGAUAUCCGUGGUAAUUCUAGAGCUAAUACAUGCAAUUAAAAUCCUGACUUCUGGAAGGGAUGUAUUUAUUAGAUAAAAAACCAACCCGGCAACGGUUCUUUGGUGAUUCAUAGUAACUUUUCGAAUCGCAUGACUUUACGUCGGCGAUGGUUCAUUCAAAUUUCUGCCCUAUCAAGUUUCGAUGGUAGGAUAGAGGCCUACCAUGCUUUUUACGGGUAACGGCGAAUUAGGGUUCGAUUCCGGAGAGGGAGCCUGAGAAACGGCUACCACAUCUAAGGAAGGCAGCAGGCGCGCAAAUUACCCAAUCCUGAUUCAGGGAGGUAGUGACAAUAAAUAACAAUCCAGGGCUUUUGUCUUGGAAUUGGAAUGAGAACAAUUUAAAUCUCUUAACGAGGAACAAUUGGAGGGCAAGUCUGGUGCCAGCAGCCGCGGUAAUUCCAGCUCCAAUAGCGUAUAUUAAAGUUGUUGCAGUUAAAUAGCUCGUAGUUGAAUCUUGGGCCUGGUUUGGCGGUCGCGCUUUAGGGCGUGUACUGUCGGCCGGGUCUUUUACUUGCGGGGAACGUGCGUGCCUCUCGGGGUGUGUACGGGAACCGUGGCUAUUACUUUGAAAAAAUUAGAGUGUUUAAAGCAGGCGUAAGCUUGUAUACAUUAGCAUGGAAUAAUAGAAUAGGACUUUGGUUUUAUUUUGUUGGUUUCUAGGGCCGAAGUAAUGAUUAAUAGGGAUAGUUGGGGGCAUUAGUAUUUAAUAGUCAGAGGUGAAAUUCUUGGAUUUAUGAAAGACUAACUUCUGCGAAAGCAUUUGCCAAGGAUGUUUUCAUUAAUCAAGAACGAAAGUCAGGGGAUCGAAGAUGAUCAGAUACCGUCGUAGUCCUGACCGUAAACUAUGCCGACUAGGGAUCGGGCGUUGUAUUUCAUGACACGCUCGGCACCUUAUGAGAAAUCAAAGUCUUGG
rnacentral:rRNA from 1 species